CUACGGGUGGCAGCAGUGAGGAAUAUUGCACAAUGGGGGAAACCCUGAUGCAGCAACGCCGCGUGGAGGAUUACGCAUUUCGGUGUGUAAACUCCUUUUAUGAGCCAAGAAAAUGACGGUAGCUCAUGAAUAAGCACCGGCUAACUCCGUGCCAGCAGCCGCGGUAAUACGGAGGGUGCAAGCGUUACUCGGAAUCACUGGGCGUAAAGGACGCGUAGGCGGGCUUGUAAGUCAGGUGUGAAAUCCUACAGCUUAACUGUAGAACUGCACUUGAAACUACGAGCCUAGAGUAUGGGAGGGGCAGAUGGAAUUAGUGGUGUAGGGGUAAAAUCCGUAGAUAUCACUAGGAAUACCGAAAGCGAAGGCGAUCUGCUGGAACAUUACUGACGCUAAGGCGUGAAAGCGUGGGGAGCAAACGGGAUUAGAUACCCUAGUAGUC
rnacentral:rRNA from 1 species